rnacentral:siRNA from 1 species
UAGACAGACUAUAGAUGGUCGAGU